UUUCUUGAUGCUUCUUCAAUUUCAAAAUCAUAUUUAAUUUUCGAACUUAUUACAUUAGCUUUUUAGUACAUAAUAUUACGCAUAAUAUCAGUACGUUUCGUAAUCGGAAGUGUAACAUUAUAUCUACAGUUUACAUUUUCAAGAUAAUAAUAGUGACAACGAUAAUGAUCGCGAGUGGAGGGUAGGUGUCUUAAAGCUCAAAUUAAUUAUUUAUAGCACACAGCAGGAAUUUAACAGCCGAUAGGUUUGCCCCAUAGCGGGAAAGGUCGGGCGAGUUUAACAUGUAAACCAUAGCGUUGCCCCCAUAAUAUCGGUCGACAAAUACUGUAAAACGGGGGGUAGUGUCGAUCGAGGCGUUUCGAAAUCAAUCAAGCCAUUCUUCGCUCGUUUUAUAAAUACGCGAGUGACGCACGUGACGCUUUAAUUAGUCAGCGCCGAUUCAAUCAGUCGACGUACGUACGGAGCGUUCGAGAAUACGACGUGAUCUCUACUGAGAAUUAUUUCUUGGAUCAGUUUACGGUGGGGAAUAGUUUACAGUAGGAAAUCUCGGGAUAACUCAUGGGGGUUUCGCGAAAGCUCCUUUUCCCCCUUUGUUUCCCCGCCUUACUUUCAGGAAGCGAUUUAUCUGCCGCGCGAGAACGCGGCGAAGAGGUGAGAAAUGACGCGAGGGGGCGAAGGGUGGCGCGGCCGGAGCAGGGCUGUAACGAGAUUCCUUCAGUUGUUUCCCGAUCCAUCCCCGUCAACAGAUCGACUUCGCCGUCCGUUUUACGGUUGAUUCAGAAAAUACUACCAGUUGAAAAAGGCACACCGGAGGUGUAUUUUUAAGCUUGUUAACAGAAGAGCAACUCUUAAAAGGAAGAGCGUGAAAAACCGGUCAGGUGGGUUCAUAUAUUCUCGUCUAAAGUGUCGACAUUUCUUUUGCAACUAUUCACGAAUUACCGGUACGAUCCGUCUGGUCCGUCGGCUCAUGUCAUCCACUGGUGGAGGAAGGUUGCCGGCAGCCUUGGAGUCGAUAGCCGAGACGAAACCGGGUCUCCCGAAGAGAGGCCUUGACUUUCGUACGUCUGUAAUCGAGGAGUCGCCGCGACCUCGCUUGUCGGCCGAAUGGGAGAAGAAAUAAAGAAUCCCACACCGACGAGAACGCCAUGAUGCCGACGGUGCGAUGAACCCGACAACGGCGGCCCGGCCUAACCAAAAGCUUGAGCCUUGACCAUCUCAGUGACGAUCCUCGAAUAUUAGCGUAUCCUCGAAUACUCGCGAAAAAAGUACUUGACCGUUUCAUCGAACAUAAUUAUUCUGGCUUGAUUUUUUAAUGUUUAAUUGGAUAAAUUAUCUAAAUUUUGUAUAUAUUUAGCGACGGAUUAUUUAUGGAGUUGUAUUCUGUUUAAUAAUAAAUAAAA